CAGCUCCUCCCGCAGCCAAGCCGGCAGCGGCUGGCCCAGGCGAUGCAGCAGCUUGGACAGCUCGAUGUUGUGGUCCUUGUAGUACUUGGACAGGAAAGCCCUGGACUGGGGAGACAAGGAGGACAGCAAGGGAGACACGCUUGGGGGUUUCAGAGAGCAGGGUCAACCAGCAUCUGGCGGCUCAGGAGCAAUUGGGGUUAAGGGCCUUGCUCAAGGGUCCAACAGUAGCAUCGCUCUGACAGCCAAGGGAUUUGAACCAGCGACCUUCCCAUCACGGACACAGAAUCCUAACCCGUGGAGCCGCACACUGCUCAGAAUCUCAAACACUUACGCUGACGACCCUUAAAUGGGUUUGUGGACUAUGAACGGACGGAGAGACAGAUGGACGCAAGCAAAAGAAAAUACUUCCACAAUAUUUAAAUGUCAAGAUUUAAGCCAGAAGACGAGUGGAAAGAGAGGCAAGAUGUACCGGGCUGAGGCGACAAGACGCCUUAACGAGAUGGAGGGAGCAACUCAGAAGCUCAGAUGAGAACACAGGUACAGAGGGGCCAGAAGUGCGGCCCAGGUCCCGCCCUCUGCGGCAGCAACUGAAACAGGU